GAGAUUCCUCCUCUGUGGAGUCUUUCCUGUGAGCAUACAUCUUUGGAUACAGAAUUUGCAGUUUUCCAUCCUCAAUGAGAAGUCCCAAGGCACAUGAAAAUCUUGUGGAAAGGAAGAACCAUGAGCACGUGUGAAGUUAGUGGAAUGGCAACGCAGCUGCUGGGUGCCGUGGAGCCAGGCAGUGUGAAAGCCUCCAGCAUGGCUGUGGGCUGCUGUGUGAAGUUGAAUUGUGCGAAUCUCGGAGUCUUGGGCAAAGAGGAAAGGGAUUAAGGUUCCAAAAGUAAUGCUUGUAUAACUGUGCUACCGCUGGUAUGAGGCUCAACCUGAAAGCCUGAGCGUCAGCUAAAAGGUCAGCUGCUGCCUUGCACUUUUCUCAAACCUCUGAUGUGAUCUGGGAGGGCACGCAUGUGUCUGGAAGUUAGUACGCUUUCCCAGCUCCACCAGUUUGACUACAGAAGAUAUGGGGUCUCAGAAUAAGUGUCACCCACAGAUAGUGUUCACAUUAGAUCUCCUCACUGCUCCACUGCAAAGGAUGUUCUCAAUGAAGGCUCACAGUAAUGCUAAUGGACUUUAGGUCUUCUGAUAAAUGCAUCUGCGGAUAUGCAUUGGAUCAUAUUAGCCCCUGACCCAGUGUUGUUGUCAAUGACUAGGCAUCAUCUGACCUGUGGAUACUCAGCACUUUCUCCUCCUCAGACACUUCCAGCUGAUGAGCUCCCAGUUUAUAGUAGAAUUUCUCAUGAUUGAGGUAACUGAUUAUUAGCACACAGUAUUGUACAUUGUCAUAUUUCUCCUAAUAUAGUUCUAAAGAUCGU